GUCCACGCCGUAAACGAUGGGUGCUAGGUGUCGCGGGCUUUGACCCCUGCGGUGCCGUAGCUAACGCAUUAAGCACCCCGCCUGGGGAGUACGGCCGCAAGGCUAAAACUCAAAGGAAUUGACGGGGGCCCGCACAAGCGGUGGAGCAUGUGGUUCAAUUCGACGCAACGCGCAGAACCUUACCUGGGCUAGAAAAUGCAGGGACCUGGUUGAAAGAUCGGGGUGCUCUUCGGAGAACCUGUAGUUAGGUGCUGCAUGGCUGUCGU
rnacentral:rRNA from 1 species